rnacentral:rRNA from 1 species
UUUAAGAGGAGAUAGUUGACUAGUUGGCAGUUUGACUGGGGCGGUCGUCUUUAAUAGAGUAGCAAAGUACAUCCAAAUAGAUUAAAAAAAAAUCAUAUUUACUUUUUAAGUAAGGUAAAUAUUCUGACAAAUUAUUUUAUAUUGUAAAUUAUUUUUAUUAAUAAUUACUUUAAAAUCAAUUUUUAAAAAUUCAUUAAUAAGGUAUGCUAGACAUUAAAUGGAGGUUAAUGAAUCAUGUAAGAUUCUGGAGAGUGCAAUGACGGUAAGCAUGCUUAACUGAAAGACUUAAUAGUCGCACAGAUACGUAAGUAGGGCAUAGUGACCCCUUGCUAUAUUA